CUGUUUGGUUGAUUAAGAUUCUUUCAAGCAGCACAUCCCAUCUGAUCUUUGCAGUUAAGCAGGGUCAGUCUUGGUUAGUGCUUUGAUGGGAGACCACCAAUGAAUACUAGAUGCUGUACGCU
rnacentral:rRNA from 1 species